GUGGGUGUAGCUCAAGGGCAGAGCGCCGGACUGUGGCUCCGGAUGUUGGGGGUUCGAAUCCCCUCACCCACCCCA
rnacentral:tRNA from 4 species